AUUGAACGCUGGCGGCAUGCUUUACACAUGCAAGUCGAACGGUAACAGGCCGCAAGGUGCUGACGAGUGGCGAACGGGUGAGUAAUGCAUCGGAACGUGCCCAGUCGUGGGGGAUAACUACUCGAAAGAGUAGCUAAUACCGCAUACGAUCUAUGGAUGAAAGCGGGGGACCGUAAGGCCUCGCGCGAUUGGAGCGGCCGAUGUCAGAUUAGGUAGUUGGUGGGGUAAAGGCUCACCAAGCCAACGAUCUGUAGCUGGUCUGAGAGGACGACCAGCCACACUGGGAUUGAGACACGGCCCAGACUCCUACGGGAGGCAGCAGUGGGGAAUUUUGGACAAUGGGCGCAAGCCUGAUCCAGCAAUGCCGCGUGCAGGAAGAAGGCCUUCGGGUUGUAAACUGCUUUUGUACGGAACGAAACGGCUCUGGUUAAUACCCGGGGCUAAUGACGGUACCGUAAGAAUAAGCACCGGCUAACUACGUG
rnacentral:rRNA from 1 species